AUUGAACGCUGGCGGAAUGCUUUACACAUGCAAGUCGAACGGCAGCACGGACUUCGGUCUGGUGGCGAGUGGCGAACGGGUGAGUAACAUAUCGGAACGUAUCCAAUAAUGGGGGAUAACGAGUCGAAAGAUUCGCUAAUACCGCAUACGCCCUACGGGGGAAAGCUGGGGACCUUCGGGCCUGGCGUUAAUGGAGCGGUCGAUAUCUGAUUAGCUAGUUGGUGAGGUAAAGGCUCACCAAGGCGACGAUCAGUAGCUGGUCUGAGAGGACGACCAGCCACACUGGAACUGAGACACGGUCCAGACUCCUACGGGAGGCAGCAGUGGGGAAUUUUGGACAAUGGGCGCAAGCCUGAUCCAGCCAUUCCGCGUGAGUGAAGAAGGCCUUCGGGUUGUAAAUCUCUUUCGCAAGGGAAGAAAACUUAGCCACUAACAUUGGUUGAGGUUGACGGUACCUUGAUAAGAAGCACCGGCUAACUACGUGCCAGCCGCCGCCGUAA
rnacentral:rRNA from 1 species